rnacentral:lncRNA from 1 species
GACAUUACUCUCAGGCCAACGAGGUGGGCAGGCCUGCUGCUAGGUGACCGAGUCCUCUUUGGCGGUUUUAAUUUCCCCAGCAACUUGCUCGCCUUCUGCUGUAGCUGAAUCUGGCGCGUAAGAUUCCUGGCGGCCCAGGCCCACACCAAGGGAGAACAUGCAGAAGAGAAACCGAGUCGGUGGAUGUGGGCGAGAAGAAACCUGACAACUCACCUGUUUCCAGAAGAGUCAGUUGAGCCAAGAUGGAAGUGAGGGGUUUGUCAGGUAGAGUAAAAGGCAUCAAGGUGGUUUCACAUCGAUGGCUGGACAUUUCACAUUGAUGGAGAUGUGGGAGAUGGAAGCUGGAAGAAUCAACCUCCAGGAGACCUCACAAGUUCCUCCCGGAAGAAGUGGUCAUUCAAAUCCUGCCUCUGACUGUGACAGAUCUGUCUGCUUCCAAUCACAGACUCUCUCAUCUAUACCAUCUAACAUAGGCUCCAAGCCCAGGGAAUGUCACUGCCCAUAGCUACAGUGUUUCUUCUCAUCUCAAUGAACUAAUCAAGAUAGUGUCUCACAGGCUCAGCCAGAGACUAAUCUCACUCAGACGGCCUUCAUAGAUGUUCUCGUAGGUCUGACUACUAAGUCGUUCUAGAUGCCAUCCUCUUGACAAUUGAUACUGAUGAUCACACUGUGGGUAAAGAUCUAAGCUCAGUUUCUGAGACAUCAGAAGAAUGGGGGAGACACUACUGUGACUGACAAGCAGCCUCGGGAAAAGAGUCAGUUCAGCUGAAUGAAGACUACAGGGAUGAUAUUGCUACCUACAGAGGAAGACCUGAUGCAGUAUCAAAGGAGAUGUCAAGAUGGACAUGAGCAAGAAAAAGAAGGAACAGGAAGGGGCUGAGGAAGGUGAAGAGAAACAAAAUGAUGGCAAUGAUUAAGUUCUUACACAGUUUUUCUCCUUGUCUAUAAAGCAUUUAAAUCUCCUUAUAACUCCCUUCUUUUAAGGAAAAAAACUGAAGUGCAAGGUUGUAUAGAUUUGUUUUUAAAGUGUAUAGUGUCUGGUUUUUGUGUAGUUAACACUACUGAGUGUCUUUAGAUAGCUCUAUCCUGAUGGUGCCUCAGAAAUGGUAUGUUGUUGGUGCACAGCACAUGUUAUUUACAUGUGGAGAUGGUAUCCUCAUUCCUCUUUCUGUUCUCUGGUCUUGUUCACAUGAAAAUAAUUCUUCUGUGAACUGAGUAUCACUUUGUAAUUAGAAAAGUGAACUGCUGCUAUCUCAUAGGCAUUCUCAAGGUUUUUAAAUAAAUACACAUUUUUAUUAGAA